AGGUCUUUUCAAAGAGAGCUAUGAGACCAAAGUCAGGAGCUCUUAAUGCUGUGACCAAAGACUGAAGUUCUCCAUAAGAUGUAAUAGUUAGUUGCUCAACAGUGCUAUGUUUUCCUGAGAAGAUACGAGA
ensembl:snoRNA